rnacentral:lncRNA from 1 species
CCGCAGGCUUGGUGGGGGUCGGUCGUGUAGUGGAGUGAAAGCAAACGCAAGAGGAAUUUGGAUUUAUAGUGAAAGACACAUGAAGGCUGAGAAAGGAAGAUAAAUAAUACACGCGAUCGCUCUUAGAGAAAGAGAAAGAGAGAGAGAGAGA